AAUCAACGCUGGCGGCGUGCCUAACACAUGCAAGUCGAACGCGAGAGUCCCGCAAGGGACAAUUGAGUGGCAAACGGGUGAGUAACACGUGGGUGACCUGCCUUCGAGUGGGGGAUAACGUCCCGAAAGGGACGCUAAUACCGCAUGACAUCCUGCCUUUGGACAGGCGGAGAUCAAAGCCGGGGAUCGCAAGACCUGGCGCUUGAAGAGGGGCCCGCGUCUGAUUAGCUAGNGGUGAGGUAACGGCUCACCAAGGCGACGAUCAGUAUCCGGCCUGAGAGGGCGGACGGACACACUGGGACUGAGACACGGCCCAGACUCCUACGGGAGGCAGCAGUGGGGAAUUGUUCGCAAUGGGCGCAAGCCUGACGACGCAACGCCGCGUGGAGGACGAAGAUCUUC
rnacentral:rRNA from 1 species